CCUACGGGGGGCAGCAGUGAGGAAUAUUGGUCAAUGGGCGGGAGCCUGAACCAGCCAAGCCGCGUGAGGGAAGAAGGUACAGCGUAUCGUAAACCUCUUUUGUCAGGGAACAAAGGCGGGGACUAGUCCCCGGCUGAGGGUACCUGACGAAAAAGCAUCGGCUAACUCCGUGCCAGCAGCCGCGGUAAUACGGAGGAUGCGAGCGUUAUGCGGAUUUAUUGGGUGUAAAGGGUGCGCAGGCGGCCUGUUAAGUCAGCGGUAAAAGCCCGGGGCUCAACCCCGGCGAGCCGUUGAAACUGGCGGGCUGGAGUUGGAGAGAAGGACGCGGAAUGCGCGGUGGAGCGGUGAAAUGCUUAGAUAUCGCGCAGAACCCCGAUUGCGAAGGCAGCGUACCGGCUCCACACUGACGCUGAGGCACGAAAGCGUGGGUAUCGAACAGGAUUAGAUACCCGAGUAGUC
rnacentral:rRNA from 1 species